rnacentral:lncRNA from 1 species
CCUUGUGAUUUGUAGUUGUGUUCUGUAAAGCUGUCACAAAUUCUGAAGUAGCAUUUACAGAACCACCGCUCCUUGGGAGAAGACAGGGGCUUGAUUUCUGUCAAGCUUCGGUCACAGCGUUUUUGUCAACUGAGCAGUACCUCAUCUCGUUCUAGGUGUGUCUCUGUUUAUAGGCACUUUGCGUAAAUUAAAGAGACUGCUGCUUCAGUAACGCUGACUUCACAGCCAACUCAUGCCUGUAGCUCAUGGCUGAUGGGGGCUUAUUUAACACUCAGAUAUUCUGUGGAAGGCACAGCUCGGUGAACAGCGGCAAAUCAGAUAUUCACAUUACUGGUGGUGGGGGGAUAAACCCUGUUCACGUCCUUUUUAUUAUAGAAAUGAUCAAUACGGCAAUAUUUAUUUGAAUGUCAAAGGCACACGUCACAGGUAUUCUAACCCCAUCAACAGUAAUGGGAGGAACCCCUCCUCCAUAAACGACAGCAGCACUGGACAAGAGUGGAAUCGGAAAGUUCGUGGAAAAUGGAAUUAACAGAAAAACCUGGGGCCAGGCGUUGUGGCUCAGCAGGUUAAGCUAGUGCUUGGGACACCCGCAUCCUGUAUUUGAAUGCCUGAGUCUUGCCUCUCCUGCUGAUGGCCCGGGUGCUGCCACCCACAUGGGAGACCCGGACGGAGUUCCUGGCUCCUGGCUUCAGCCUGGUCUAGCCCUGGCUGUUGCAAGGAGUGAACCAGCCGAUGGGAGAUCUCUCUGUCUCUUUCCCUCUCUCUCUGUCUCUCUCUUUCUUCUGUCGCUCUGCCUAUCAAAUAAAUAAAUACAACUUUUUUUAGGAGGAUACAUUUAUUUGGGUCCAACAAAUUGUGAAACCAUGCAUAGCUUUUUCAUAAUAUGCCAUUUUCAGACUUUUUGAAGACCCCUUGGACCCACGCCUGCUUGUCCGCUGCAGUGUUGUUUCGUAACAAAAUGAACGGAAUGCCCACCACCACACAGGGCAGUGUGUCCUCACCGUGGGGGAAGACGAACAUCCACAGAGUGUUUCCCGAGAUACUGCCUUUAAGACGUGGUUUUGAGACUCUGAGUUCGGCAUGACAAGGAGUCUGGUGUUUGUGGGUAGAGCCAGCUGGUUUAGCAGUGGUAUCUCAAUUCAAGACAAAGUUCUGUGAGGAGCCUUCAAAAGGUUGGUGGGAAAAUGCAUAUUAUGAAAAAAGCAGCUGUGGAUUUCAAAGCUUUUUUUCCCACCAAAAUAAAUUUACCUUUUAAUUCCA